rnacentral:rRNA from 1 species
AGAGGGAUAUAAAGCUAUUGCAUGCGAUACUUACUUUGUAAGUGUUUGCCUUUUAAAUGCAAGCUUAGCCCGUCGAUCUAAUCUAACUCAUUGCUUGAGCGUACUUCGGUACCUCAGCUGGGUGGAAGUGUAGAAUCGAAAGCAAUCUAAUGUUGGUUAUAAUUCUAAUAACACAAUAACCCUAAAAGGAUUCUUUUAGCGUUUAAUUACGUUUAAUUAAUCCUAAUUAGAAUUACGGUUAUUUUUCUUUAUUACUAAGAGAAAUGUAAUGUUAUUAUAUAAUACAAUACACAGCGCUUUAGCGUUGGAAAGCAAAUGUCUGUAGUUUUACUACUGCCUUAGAGUGUGACAGCCACGUUCUUAAUUGCUAAUAACAUUCUCUUUACUCUUAAAAGAAAAAUAUAAUAACCGUUUAUAACCGUAAUUCGUGAUUGUUGAUACCAGAGUCGAGUUGUUUGGGACUACAGCUCAAAUCGUUUGGAGGUGGUAAUGACACAUCUAAGGCUAAAUAUUGGUGUUUAUAAUCUAACAUGCAAUGGAAACCGAUAGCAAACAAGUACCGUAAGGGAACGAUGAAAAGCACCCUUCAUAGCGCACUAUGUCGUUAUUUCUUUUAAAGAAAUUAACACAUACUAAGCUCCAAAGGGAGUGAAAGAGAGAGUGAAAUCGCCUAACAUUAUAAAUCGCUAAUAAACGCUCUAAUAAACCAACUCUAUAUAUAUAAUACCCCGAGUUGUUUAAUUACAAUUUCAGCGAAGUACAAUCGGACAGAGUGUCUUUGAAUCCCUUUUUGGGAUUACAAGCGGGCUAUUAUAUUAAUUCUAAUAUAGUAUGUUUUGCUUUACAUGUCUUUUUAUUUUUAAUAAAAAGACAAUCAGGACACAACUAUCUGACCCGUCUUGAAACACGGACCAAGGAGUUCAACUGGACUGCAAGUCAUAGAGUUUAUCAUUAAUCUCUAUUUUUUAAUGGCAAAGCGAAAGCAAUGUUCUUUCUAAUGUGUAAAGUCUUUAUUCACACAAAGACUGCCACACAGGCUGUUUACGGUCAUAUUGUUAGAGCCUUUGUGCUGUGCAUAUGCAUUAUCUUUUAUUUUUAAUAAUUGAAUAAUGAUUAAACAAGCCUAUUGAGCAUUUUAGUUGAGACCCGAAAGAUGGUGAACUAUGCCCGGACAUGGUGAAGCCAGGUGAAAACUUGGUGGAAGCUUGCGUUGUGCGGAACUGACGUGCAAAUCGUUGCCGCCUGAUCUGGGUAUAGGGGCGAAAGACUCAUCGAACCAUCUAGUAGCUGGUUCCCUCCGAAGUUUCCCUUAGGAUAGCUCGAUAUUAUUUUUAAUUAUAAGACAUUUGUCUUAUAAAUUUGUGUAACACAAGGGUAAAGCAAUGAGACGCGGUAUCUGUGGGUCUUAUCUUUAAUGACCUCGGCCUUCUCUCAAACUUUAAAUCUGUGCGAUUUCAUAUGCUUUCUUAGAUUGGUCUAAUUUAUUAGGCCUAAGAAGCUAUGUAUCUUUUAGAUAAUUCAAUUGUAACCAAAUAUCGUAGUGGGCCAUUCCUGGUAAGCAGGACUGGCGAUGAGGGAUUCAACCUGACGUUUUCAAGAUAAGCCGGGCUUAAUCAUAUCUGCUCCAACCUUCCGAUAAACGCGAAAGGGUGUUCCGUGUGGUGCAGACAGCAGGACGGUGGCCAUGGAAGUUGGAAUCCGCGUAAGGAGUGUGUAACAACUCACCUGCAGAAUCACACCGCCCCGAAAACGGAUGGCGCUCAAGCAGUUAAUUGAGUAUUUAUAUACUCUAAUACCCGACACUUGACCAUUGUUAUUAUUCUUUAUAAUAAAACAAUGAGUAGGAGGUUAUCAAUCGCGUAUGGAUAUACUUACGUGUGUCUAAUUUUUAAUAAGACACCACGUUUUGUUUACGCUUAGAAGCGGCAUCUCGUAAGAGGCCGUUGAGCUAUCCAUAGUGCAGAUCUUGGUACUAGUAGCAAGGAGUCUUACUGAGAUAUUUUAACGAUUAUAAACGGCUAAUUUAUUUAGCAAUUAUAAUCCUUUUUAACCGAGGAUGACCGAAGCGGAGAAAGGUUCCAUGUUGCAGCUUAGUGCGACGUGGGUGAGUCAGUCCUAAGGCUAAUGCCUGACACAGGCUUUCAAUUCUGUUACAUCUUUUGUCUUAAUCGAUAAUUGCUAUUUAAUAGCUUUUAUUAGGUUUACAAAUUGUAACGGUUGGCUAAACGGGAAUCGGGUUAAUAUUCUCGAACCACUGUAUGACAGUCGUUAUUACUAAUAAUACUAAUAAUAACAAGAUACUCUAAUACAUCGCGGUAACGCUAAAGUUGGGUUGUUUAUUUUAAAACGACCUCAACCACAAGGCAAGUUACUUGAGGCGAGAAUCCUGACAGGGUUAUCUAACCUGUUUAACCUUUUUAUUAUUAGAUUUCUAAUCUAAUAUAAACACUCUAAUAUAAUAACAAAAUCUAUAUAAUACCAGCCAAGUGUUGAGCGGCAUUUAGUGAACGAUGCACUUGGCUAUUUGCCCAUUAGCAAUGGGAAGAGCACUGGUGUCUGUAGAUUACUAGAUAUUUCAUUUCUUAAAUGUAAUCAUCUUUGUAAUCUCAGGCAAUUUACCUGGUGUCUAUGGACUUCUUGUUCUCAGGCGUGAAAAGCUUGUCUCGUAUUCUUUAUAUAUUUAGUAAUUAAAUCGCUUAAUUAUUAUUAUUAUUAAGAGAUUCUAUUACUAAUAAAUAAUAUUAAUAAUAAAACACACACUGGUACAGUGUCUGUACUCAUAACCGCAUCAGGUCUCCAAGGUUUGCAGCCUUUGGUCGUAUAGAAUUACGGUGGGUAAGGGAAGUCGGCAAAUUCGGUCCGUACUUACGAUACAAGGACUGGCUCCGAAGGUGAAUGAAUUCCAUUAGCAUUAAUCUUCGUUUUUAAUACUAAUCUAUUAUAGAUUUUGUUAUUAAGACGAAUGCUCUUACGAGUAUAAUGCUUAUUGUGAUAUAUCCCAACCUUUGAGAACUGGCACGGACUCGGGGAAUCCGACUGUUUAAUUAAAACAUAGCAAAGUGCAAUGUUUCUUUAUGUUUGAUUGAUUUGCCUUUAUGGAUUCGUCUGUAAUACUAUCUCAGUCGCAUUACUUUUUUUAAUUAGUCCGAAAUGGAUUUGAACACUUUGUGUAUUCUGCCCAGUGCUCUGCAAGUUAUUCUGUGUGGAUACAGCAUUUUAAGCGCGGGUCAACGGCGGGAGUAACUAUGACUCUCUUAAGGUAGCCAAAUGCCUCGUCAUUUAAUUGGUGACGCGCAUGAAUGGAUCAACGAGAUUCCCACUGUCCCUACUCACUCUCUAGCGAAAUUACAGCCAAGCCAACGGUCUUGGGAUAGUACUUGUGUGUCUUAUAUCAUGUGUCACAAGACAUAUAUAGAUUUGAUAUUAAGAGCAUAAGACAGGAUUACAUACUUUACACUACAGUGUCUUAUAUCGUUUAUUACGAUAACACGACUGUAAUGUUUAUUAGAAUUCCUAAUAAGACAAAUGCUCUUAAUAGAUUUUUAAUUAUAAUUAAAUAUUCUAAUAACGUACAACAGCGGGGCAAGAAGACCCUUUUGAGCUUGACUCUAAUCUGUUAUUGUCAUCUGGUCGGCAUGGCGAAGAUUGUAAGAGGCAGUGCAUUUAUUUGUACGACCAUGAAACACCGCUACUUGACGAUUUGGCUGACUAACUGUAUAGGCAUUGCCUUUUUACAGUGUUAGAAACAACAUACAUUUCCGGACAAAAAGAGUUAAUAUAAUUCUAUUAUAUUUCUCUUAACCGUUUAUGUAAGCAUUGUGUCAUUCGUUCUUUUGAUAACGACCAUUGUUCUCUUAUCUCUUACAAUUAGAUUUAUUUAAUCUAAGCUGUAAAGGAGACUGUUUAUAUCCGUUAAACGAUAUUUACUAUCCUUAGAUUUGUUGAAAUGACCUAUGCCAAUGAGCUACCAUCUUAAACAUAGCAUUACGAGCAUUGGACUACAAUGUCUGUAUUUAUUUCUUUAUAACUUCGGUUAUUAGAUUUAAAAUCUAAAGACAUAUACCCAUCAUAGCAAUUGUACAGGACAUUUGCAGAAUGGGAGUUUGGCUGGGGUGGCACAUCUGUUAGAAUGCAACACAGGUGUCCCAAGGGCAGCUCCGUGAGAACAGAAACCUCUCAUCGAGUAUAAGGGCAAAAGCUGUCUUAAUCUAAGUACCUUCAGUAACGGUACACAAUGAAAUAUAAUACUUGCCUGUCUUAUGUUUAUUCGUAAACAUGUAUGGCUUGUCUAGUGUGAAAGCACGGCCUAGCGAUCCUUUAGUGAACGUAUGAAUUCUAUGGUAUUUAUGUAUGUGUUAUUGAUAUUCUUAACCGUAUUGACUCUUACUCAUUUUAUUGCUAUAUAUUUUUGUGUAUUCUACGAGUAAUCGUGGUUAUGCCAUUCUUUAUAGCCUAAUUGAGAUUAUACGAUUCUUUACUCUUAAAAGGGUAUUAUAACCAUAUGACCUAUUACUUUUUGCGGCUAGAGGUGUCAGAAAAGUUACCACAGGGAUAACUGGCUUGUGGCCCCGGAGCGUUCAAAGCGAUGGGGCUUUUUGACUCUUCGAUGUCGGCUCUUCCUAUCCUGCGGUUGCAUACGGCCGCAAGGGUAAGUUUGUUCACCUGCCAACAGGGAACGUGAG